rnacentral:rRNA from 1 species
UACAGAGACUGCAAGCGUUAUUCGGAUUCACUGGGCGUAAAGGGUGCGCAGGCGGCCGUGUGUGUCAGGUGUGAAAGCCCGGGGCUUAACCCCGGAAUUGCGCCUGAAACUACAUGGCUAGAGCAUUGGAGAGGGUAGCAGAAUUCACGGUGUAGCAGUGAAAUGCGUAGAUAUCGUGAGGAAUACCAGAGGCGAAGGCGGCUACCUGGACAAUUGCUGACGCUCAGGCACGAAAGCGUGGGGAGCAAAAGGG